UACGUAGGCAGCAAGCGUUGUUCGGAGUUACUGGGCGUAAAGAGUAUGUAGGUGGCCUCGUAAGUUUGGUGUGAAAUCUCCCGGCUUAACUGGGAGGGUGCGCCGAAAACUGCGGGGCUCGAGUGCGGGAGAGGAGAGCGGAAUUCCUGGUGUAGCGGUGAAAUGCGUAGAUAUCAGGAGGAACACCGGCGGUGUAGACGGCUCUCUGGACCGUUACUGACACUGAGAUACGAAAGCGUGGGGAG
rnacentral:rRNA from 1 species